rnacentral:rRNA from 1 species
UACAGAGGUCUCAAGCGUUGUUCGGAUUCAUUGGGCGUAAAGGGUGCGUAGGUGGUGGGGCAAGUCUGGUGUGAAAUCCCGGGGCUCAACCCUGGAACUGCACUGGAUACUGCUUUGCUAGAGUACUGGAGAGGGAACUGGAAUUUACGGUGUAGCAGUGAAAUGCGUAGAUAUCGUAAGGAAGACCAGUGGCGAAGGCGAGUUCCUUGACAGUUACUGACACUGAGGCACGAAGGCCAGGGGAGCAAACGGG